GUCACUCACUACUCAGCUGGUUGGUUAAAAUGAAAUCUUAGUCUGGAUUUGUACUUUCUGAACCUGACAUCUCCACCUCUGCCUCUCACCUAUAUGUGUGCCUGAUGGAGAGCAAGAUAAGGCCGUCUGACCUUCUGGCUCCAGGAGUCUGUAUGAAGACCACAGAUAAAAGGCCUGCUUUCCCUCAGUGGGGGCAGACAGACGCAGACAGACAGUGAAUCGGCCAUGUGUGACAUCUUUGUCUUCUUCAUUCUGUCCAGUAAACUGCUCAAGUUUAAGGAAUCUGCCUCAUAUUUCUACUCUGAAAGAACUUGAGAUCAGAUAACAAAAGAAAGAGAAAAUCACAAUCACGAAAAAAUUAAGCAAUUAAGAACCAAAACAUAUUGAUAUUCAUAUAAGCCAAAAGUGUGAUUUUAUAAACGUAUUCAUCUAUUUGUCUAACAAACAAUCAAACUAUCAUCUCAAUUGACUAUUUACAUUCAAAUAAACUGGAUCUGUGUC